rnacentral:tRNA from 2 species
GGGCGGUUAGCUCAGUGGUUAGAGCACUACCCUUACAAGGUAGGGGUCGCAGGUUCAAGUCCUGCACCGCCCA